UACAGAGGUCCCAAGCGUUGUUCGGAUUCAUUGGGCGUAAAGGGUGUGUAGGUGGCGCCGUAAGUCGGGUGUGAAAUUUCGGAGCUUAACUCCGAAACUGCAUUCGAUACUGCGGUGCUUGAGGACUGGAGAGGAGACUGGAAUCAUGGUGUAGCAGUGAAAUGCGUAGAGAUCAUAAGGAAGACCAGUGGCGAAGGCGGGUCUCUGGACAGUUCUGACACUGAGGCACGAAGGCCAGGGAG
rnacentral:rRNA from 1 species